UUUUUUCCCCCCGCGGUCGUUAUUGCAUCAUCAGAGAGAAUUAAAGUAGCAGGUCGAACUGAAAUAGCUGCAAUGGGUAAAUGUAAGUUCAAUGAGAAAGUUCAAUGAGAAAUGGCUCGAGAAUGAUGAAUUCUCAUGGUGGUUGAAGCCGGUGCCUGAAAAUGUGUACAAGGCAAAUUGCGCCGUAUGUCGAAGACGUUUUAAACUGGGUACAAUGGGCAUCAAAGCGGUGGAAUCGCACACGCAGAGUGGGAAGCACUGGGAGUAUGCGAGAGCCCGCAAGAAGAGUUCAAUUGAAGGUUUCUGUUCCACUCUUUCCAUUAGCAAAGAUGUCACCACGGAUGUUGAGAAUCCCCAGCCUGCAACGCCAUCAUCUGACCUACAUGUAGUUUUUGGCUCUACACUAAGAGCUGAGGAGUGUGUGCAGCAGCUUGAUCUGAGAGACAUGAUAUCUGUCUCCAUGGAUGGACCCAGUGUAAACUGGAAGUUUUUAGAAAUUUUCCAGCAAGAACAUUCAGAGGCGUUCGGAGGUGCCCAGCUGACUGUGGUCGGGAGCUGUGGUCUCCACAUACUCCAUAAUGCCAUAAAAAGUGGCUUUAGUGUAUGGCAAAUGGAGAAAGUGCUCAGGGCACUACAUACAGUCUUCCAUAAUAGCCCUGCUAGAAGAGAGGAUUUCUGCACUCUGACCAAGACAUCUGUGUUUCCCCUGCCAUUUUGUGGGCAUUGUUGGAUAGAAAACCUACCGGUCAUCGAUAGGGCUAUUGCAGUAUGGCCAAUGAUCGUGAUGUAUGUGGAUGCAGUAACAAAGAAAAAGCUUCCAAAUCCGAGAACAUCAUCCUAUGACUUCCUUGCAGAGGCACGGCAUGGCAUGAUCCUUUCAUAAUGGCCAAGUUUCACUUCUUCAUGGCUGUCUCCAGGACCUUCUCCACCUUUCUGACUAAAUAUCAGACAGAUGAGCCUGUGUUGCCAUUCAUUAGCAAAGACCUGGUCAUGCUCAUGAAGCCUGCUUAAGAGGUUCAUCAAGGAAGAAAUCCUUAAUGACAUCACUGCACUGCAGAUGGUCAGACUGAACACAACUAACAAAAAAGCAAGAAAACAACCAAAGAAUGUGGACGUUGGCUUAGGAGCAGAAGCAGUCAUAAAGGAUCUCCAGAGUAGCAGCAGAGUAGGUGAGCUCAGUGUGUUGGAGUUUAGAAGGGACUGCAUGGUCUGUUUGACUAACAUCAUCCAGAAAAUGCAAGAUAAGAGUCCGCUGAAGUACACUGUUGUGAGGCAGGUGGCAUGUUUGGACCCAACAAACAUGUUCUCAGACCCUAACUUGUGCCAGGAAAGAAUGAAGCGACUUGUUCAUAGGUUUCUGCAAGACCACCAGCUGCCAGGAGGCAUCUCUGCUGGUAUAAAUUUUUCAGAAAUAUAGCGGAAUGUACAUGGUCACGUUUAUCUGAAGCUUGUUUUCACACAAUUUAGCAGUGAUAGGUUUAUCUGAUUCAGUAUUCUUUCUUUUUCAUUAUGUUAAUUAUGUUAUUUAGUCUUAAUCUGUUUUACAACAGGUGACAUAAUUGUCCAGCAGUUUGGAAACUUCUUGUCUCUGGAGGCAAAAUCAGAGUCAUUGUCUUCUUUCCAACCCAUGAAGACAAGGCUGGAUGUUUUCCUGCAUGGUCUCCUCUGUCAAUCCUACCCUGAGCUCUGGACUUUCUGCAAGAAACUACUGCUCCUCUCCCAUGGCCAAGCAACAGUGGAGAGGGGCUUUUCUGUUAACAAGGAGGUAGAGGCUGAUAAUAUACAGGAGGACACAGUUGUUGCUCAGAGGAUGAUAUGUGACUAUGUUUCUGUCUGUGGGGGGGUUCUAAAAGUUCCUCUGACAAAGGAGAUCCUGGCAGCUGCAGCUUCUGCAAGAUCUCAGUAUCGGCUACACCUGGAUCAGGAAAAGAGAAAGCAGGAGAGCAAUGCACAAAGAGAAAAGAGAUGGUACUAGCUGAGGUGGCAAACAGCCAGAAGCAGACACACUGGCAGAGAAAGCUGAGGGUAAAUCAGGUACACUCAUGGCCCAGCUAAUCACUAAGUCUAAUAUUCUGAGGAAGCGAUUCAAAGAAAAGGUAGCAGAAAUAAAUCAGUAGAACUCCGGCAUAUUCCAUAAUAUCCAGUCAGCCAUUAUCUUUAUCCUCCCUACCUUUCAGACAAUUUCUGUUCCACAUUUCACAUCAAAAUUGUUCAUUCACAUUGUUGUAAGUCAAAUAUAUGUACAAAGUAGACAAUCUAGAACACAAAUCUACCAGUUAUUGUGAGCUGGUUAAUAAUAGUAAUUAAUGUUGUACAGUGGCUUCUUUGCAGUUAAACAGCUGCUGAAAUUGUUGUAUUUUUGAUUUCUUGGAUAUUGUCUGUGAAAAGCUCACUGUAUAUUGUAAUAAUAAAUAGCAUUUGUUACAGCAAUAAUAUUUUGCGAUUUGUGUUAUGUGCGUGUGUGUAUUUUCAUCGCAGGUUUGGUGGUCUUAAAUUUCAUAUAAGUUGGUAUUAAAAAGGUCUUACAUUUGACUUGUUAAACUCUGUAGACACCCUGGAUUAGAUCUUUUUCUGCAGAUUUGAUACUGUGGAUGGUGUAAAGGAAUCUGAAGACACACCAAGAAACGUGUUAAUGAGGAUAAUGUUUCUGCAAGACUUUCCGAGUCGAACAAGAACACUGUCCCUUCUUCAAGACUGUGCUCUUCAGCUAAAAGGAGUUUCUGCAAGGUUGUUUCAAUUUUCACGUACAGU